GGAAUUCCUGGUGUAGCGGUGAAAUGCGCAGAUAUCAGGAGGAACACCGAUGGCGAAGGCAGGUCUCUGGGCUGUAACUGACGCUGAGGAGCGAAAGCAUGGGGAGCGAACAGGAUUAGAUACCCUGGUAGUCCAUGCCGUAAACGUUGGGCACUAGGUGUGGGGGACAUUCCACGUUUUCCGCGCCGUAGCUAACGCAUUAAGUGCCCCGCCUGGGGAGUACGGCCGCAAGGCUAAAACUCAAAGGAAUUGACGGGGGCCCGCACAAGCGGCGGAGCAUGCGGAUUAAUUCGAUGCAACGCGAAGAACCUUACCAAGGCUUGACAUGAACCGGAAUGAUGCAGAGAUGUGUCAGCCACUUGUGGCCGGUUUACAGGUGGUGCAUGGUUGUCGUCAGCUCGUGUCGUGAGAUGUUGGGUUAAGUCCCGCAACGAGCGCAACCCUCGUUCCAUGUUGCCAGCGGGUUAUGCCGGGGACUCAUGGGAGACUGCCGGGGUCAACUCGGAGGAAGGUGGGGACGACGUCAAAUCAUCAUGCCCCUUAUGUCUUGGGCUUCACGCAUGCUACAAUGGCCGGUACAAAGGGUUGCGAUACUGUGAGGUGGAGCUAAUCCCAAAAAGCCGGUCUCAGUUCGGAUUGAGGUCUGCAACUCGACCUCAUGAAGUUGGAGUCGCUAGUAAUCGCAGAUCAGCAACGCUGCGGUGAAUACGUUCCCGGGCCUUGUACACACCGCCCGUCAAGUCACGAAAGUUGGUAACACCCGAAGCCGGUGGCCUAACCCCUU
rnacentral:rRNA from 1 species